rnacentral:rRNA from 1 species
AUACCAGCACCCCGAGUGGUCGGGACGAUUAUUGGGCCUAAAGCAUCCGUAGCCGGUCCUACAAGUCUUCCGUUAAAUCCACCUGCUUAACAGAUGGGCUGCGGAAGAUACUAUAGGGCUAGGAGGCGGGAGAGGCAAGCGGUACUCAGUGGGUAGGGGUAAAAUCCUCUGAUCCAUUGAAGACCACCAGUGGCGAAGGCGGCUUGCCAGAACGCGCUCGACGGUGAGGGAUGAAAGCUGGGGGAGCAAACCGGAUUAGAUACCCGGGUAGUCCCAGCUGUAAACGAUGCAGACUCGGUGAUGGGUUGGCCUUGUGCCAACCCAGUGCCGCAGGGAAGCCGUUAAGUCUGCCGCCUGGGGAGUACGGUCGCAAGACUGAAACUCAAAUGAAUUGACGGGG